AACACAUGCAAGUCGGAUGCAAUCAUCAACGUCGGUUGGUGAGUAACAUGGCAGACGGGUGAUGAGCACGUACCGUGACCUGAGACACGGAGGGGGAUAGUCCCCCGAAAGGGGGUUGAAUACCGCAUACGCUCGUCAAUGCAGCUUGAUGAUGAGAGGUGGCCUCUGCAUGCACGCUAUCGCCGUGUGAGAGGGGGUGCGUCCUAUUAGCUGGCUGGUGUGGUAAUGGCCUACCAGGGCGACGAUUGUUCGCUGGUCUGAGAGGAUGAUCAGGCACACUGGUACUGAGACACGGCCCAGACUCCUACGGGAGGCAGCACUGGGGAAUUUCGCGCAAUGGGGGGAACCCUGACGCAAUAACGCCGGGUGACUGACGACGCCUUUCGCGGUGUUAAGCUCUGUGAAGCGGGACAAAGGCUCCGGGUGAAUAACCUGCGAUGGUGACGGUACCGCCAUAGCAAGCCCCGGCUAACUCCGUGCCAUCAGCCGUGGUAAGACGGAUGGGGCGAUCGUUGUUCGGAAUUACUGGGCGUAAAGCGCCCGCACGCGGUGACGUGAGUGUCUCGUGAAAGCCCCCGGGUCAACCGGGGACGGGCGAAGCACACUGCGUGACUUGAGUGCUGGAGGGGGAGGCGGAAUUCCUGGUGGAGCGGUGAAAUGCGUAGAGAUCAGGAAGAACGUCAAUGGCGAAGGCGGCCUCCUGGACAGACACUGACGCUGAGGGGCGAGAGCGUGGGGAGCGAACGGGAUUAGAUACCCCGGUAGUCCACGCCGUAAGCGCUGGGCACUAGGUGUUGGGGUUGGAGAUCACUUCCGUGCCGGAGCUAACGCAGUAAGUGCCCCGCCUGGGGAGUACGGUCGCAAGGCUGAAACUCAAAGGAAUUGACGGGGGCCCGCACAAGCGGUGGAGCAUGUGGUUUAAUUUGACGCAACGCGCAGAACCUUACCUGGGUUUGACAUGGCACUGCGAUGCCCUGCGAGGGGCAGUUCCUUCGGGACGGUGUCACAGGUGCUGCAUGGCUGUCGUCGGCUCGUGUCGUGAGAUGUUGGGUUAAGUCCCGCAACGAGCGCAACCCUUGCCCUUCGUUACCAGCAGGUGAGACUGGGGACUCGAGGGGGACUGCCGAUGUCAAGCCGGAGGAAGGUGGGGAUGACGUCAAGUCCUCAUGCCCAUGACGCCCAGGGCUACACACGUGCUACAAUGGAGCGGACAACGGGGAGCGACCCUGCGAGGGGGAGCCAAUCCCUGAACCGGUUCUGAGUGCGGAUUGGAGUUUGCAACUCGACUCCAUGAAGCUGGAAUCGCUAGUAAUCACGGAUCAGCAUGCCACGGUGAUACGUCCCCGGGCAUUGUACACACCGCCCGUCACACCACGAAGCUUGAGUGUACCCGAAGUCG
rnacentral:rRNA from 1 species